GGGGGGGGGUUGCCCGAAAACCGAGCUCGGUCUGAGAUCACAGCCUCAGCAUUGAAACAUCCGCCUUCAGGAUCGGCAUCCCCCGCCCUGGAUCCAGUUGUGCCCUCAGCGUCGUCGGACCCUCAUCAAAUAGCGAGGUUCAUUGCUUGAACUCUCUCCUCCCCACAGACUCUGCAUCCCGACCAGAAGGCCUCUGUUGGUGACCUGCUUUACUCGAAGGCCAUUCAACGGACUUAUUGGUCACACCCGAGGUGGACAGGACCCUUCAAGGUUCUCCUCACCAUGCCAACUGCAGUACGAAUUGCUGUACGACCCUCCUGGAUUCACGUAAGCCACUGUAAAUUGCUGAGAGCCUAUGAGACUGACAUUUUGAGACACAUCCCUGGUUAAAGUCCAACUACGAAACCGCUGCAGUGUGACACUACUCCUGGCGAGGGGCGCUCCCUGGUGUGUUUCCUCUAGCACUGCUCUCUUCCAGCUACAGUGAGCUUC